rnacentral:lncRNA from 1 species
CUGAUUUUCUUUAAAACUUUGAACGGUUCCGCACUACGAGAUUGCAACUUUUUGAACAUUUCCGAAAGAAGUCAUUCAGGUCUAAUUCUUACCAUGACAUAAUCGCCUACAUUCAAUUCUUUAUAACGUCUGUGCAAAUCAGCAAGAGAUUUAUAUUUUAAGUAAUUAGAGUGAAUAUGUUUGCUGAUCUCCUGAUGCAAUGAAUGCAGGUGUGAAGCAAAUGAUUGUGCAGACUCAGAGACUCUAUGUUGAUGAGACAUGGGAAUCAAGUCUAUGGGUUGCCUAGG